CCUACGGGCGGCUGCAGUGGGGAAUUUUGGACAAUGGGGGCAACCCUGAUCCAGCCAUGCCGCGUGAGUGAAGAAGGCCUUCGGGUUGUAAAGCUCUUUCGGCCGGGAAGACAUCGUGCGGGCCAAUACCCUGCAUGGAUGACGGUACCGGAAGAAGAAGCACCGGCUAACUACGUGCCAGCAGCCGCGGUAAUACGUAGGGUGCGAGCGUUAAUCGGAAUUACUCGGGGGACAGCGUGCGCAGGCGGCGAAAUCCCCGGGCUUAACCUGGGAACUGCGUUUGUGACUGUGGUGCGUGAGUGCGGCAGAGGGGGGUGGAAGUCCACGUGUAGCAGUGAAAUGCGUAGAGAUGGGGAGGAACACCGAUGGCGAAGGCAGCCCCCUGGGUCGACACUGACGCUCAUGCACGAAAGCGUGGGGAGCAAACAGGAUUAGAUACCCUUGUAGUC
rnacentral:rRNA from 1 species